CAACAUUAGGCAUAUAAAUCCUACCUGUCUUCACACACUUACACACUAAAACUCCCACAGAAAGGGGGAAAAUUAGAAAAGGGGUGAUAUAAUUUGACUCUGUGUCACCACCCAAAUCUCAUCUUGAAUUGUAAUCCCCGUAAUUUCUCACCUGGCAAGAGUGGGACCAGGUGGAGACAAUUGGAUCAUGGGGGCAGUUUUCCCCAUGCUCUUCUCGUGAUAAUGAUUGAGUCUCAUGGGAUCUGAUGAUUCUAUAAGUGUCUGGCUUUUCUCCUACUUGCACUCACUCCAUCCUGCCACCCUGCGAGGAAGGUGCCUGCUUCUUCUUUGCCUUCCGCCGUGAGUGUGAGUCUCCUGAGGCCUCCCCAGCAAUGUGGAACUGAUACGUCAUGGAACAGAGGGCAACCUGCCUCCUGGAAAUGUGGAGUGUCUAGGGAGUCACAGCUGAGAUCUUCCUUGGAUUAAAGGCUGCGGGUGUCACAAACAGAUGAAGGUCUCACUUUACUGCCAGGCUGGUCUUGAACUCCUGGCCUCAAAUGAUCUUCCCAUCCCACCUUGGCCUCCCAAAACACUGGGAUUGCAGACGUGAGCCACUGCACCUAACCUCAAAUGUCUUUCUUUACAAAGAUUGGUUUGCUAAGACUUAUGAUGUUUUUAUUUUUGUUUUUUGUUUUUUUUUUCCAGAAUGAUACGGUUUGGCUGUGUCCCCACCUAAAUCUCACCUUGAGUUCCUAUGUGCUGUGAAAGGGACCUGAUGGGAGGUAACUGAAUCAUGGGGGCAGGUCUUUCCUGUGCUCAUGAUAGUGAGUAAGUCUCAAGAAAUCUGAUGGUUUUUACAAGGGGGAAUUUUCCUGCACAAGCUCUCUUUGCCUGCUGCCACCCAUGUAAGACGUGACUUGCUGCUCAUUGCCUUCUGCCGUGAUUGUGAAGCUUCCCCAGCAACGUGGAACAGUAAGUCCAAUAAACUUCUUUCUUUUGUAAAUUGCCCAGUCUCUGGUAUGUCUUUAUUAGCAGUGUGAAAACGGACUAAUACACAGAAUAAAAGUAACUUCAACAUGUUUCAUUUUCUCUUGGAAAAGUGCUAUGCUUAAAAAGAUUGUUGCCAAAUUUAUCUUUCAAAAUACAAGUCAGAUGUUUUAAUUACUGUCUUCAGAUGAUUUCAGUGAGUCCUCAAUAUUAAAAUAAUAAAGCAAAACUUCUUUAAAUCUUUCAAGCCACUAGAGAGCUUGCUGUUUUUUUUUUUAGCUGUUUAGUCUUAUCUCAAUACUGUCGCUA
rnacentral:lncRNA from 1 species